rnacentral:rRNA from 1 species
CAAUAGCGUAUAUUUAAGUUGCUGCAGUUAAAAAGCUCGUAGUUGGAUUUCGGGUGGGAAUGGCCGGUCCGCCGUUUCGGUGUGCACUUGCUACGCCCACCUUGCUGCCGGGGACGUGCUCUUGAGUUCACGCUCGGGACACGGAGUCGGCGAGGUUACUUUGAGUAAAUUAGAGUGUUCAAAGCAGGCCUACGCUCUGAAUACAUUAGCAUGGAAUAACACGAUAGGACUCUGGCCUAUCUUGUUGGUCUGUAGGACCGGAGUAUGAUUAAGAGGGACAGUCGGGGGCAUUCGUAUUUCAUUGUCAGGGGUGAAAUUCUUGGAUUUAUGAAAGACGAACUACUGCGAAAGCAUUUACCAAGGAUGUUUUCAUUAA